rnacentral:rRNA from 1 species
AAAUGAAUUGACGGGGGCCCGCACAAGCGGCGGAGCAUGCGGAUUAAUUCGAUGCAACGCGAAGAACCUUACCAAGGCUUGACAUACACCAGACCGUUCUGGAAACAGUUCCUCCCCUUUGGGGUUGGUGUACAGGUGGUGCAUGGUUGUCGUCAGCUCGUGUCGUGAGAUGUUGGGUUAAGUCCCGCAACGAGCGCAACCCUCGUUCUAUGUUGCCAGCACGUGAUGGUGGGAACUCAUAGGAGACUGCCGGGGUCAACUCGGAGGAAGGUGGGGAUGACGUCAAAUCAUCAUGCCCUUUAUGUCUUGGGCUUCACGCAUGCUACAAUGGCUGGUACAGAGAGAUGCGAGACCGCGAGGUUUUAGCGAAUCCCUUAAAGCCAGUCUCAGUUCGGAUCGUAGUCUGCAAUUCGACUACGUGAAGUCGGAGUCGCUAGUAAUCGCAGAUCAGCAACGCUGCGGUGAAUACGUUCCCGGGCCUUGUACACACCGCCCGU